rnacentral:rRNA from 1 species
UACGUAGGGUGCAGGCGUUGUCCGGAAUUAUUGGGCGUAAAGGGCGCGUAGGCGGCCUUGUAAGUCAAAGGUGAAAUCCCUCGGCUCAACUGAGGAACUGCCUUUGAAACUGCAAGGCUUGAGGCCGGGAGGGGGUAGCGGAAUUCCCAAUGUAGCGGUGAAAUGCGUAGAGUAUUGGGAGGAACACCAGUGGCGAAGGCGGCUACCUGGACCGGUUCUGACGCUGAGGCGCGAAAGCGUGG